UCCGCCCCCGGGCUCGGGAAGCGACUGGGGGCGCGGAGACCCGGGUUGGGCACUCCGGGCUGCGGCAGGAAGGAAAGGGUUCGGAGGGAGGGUCUCCCCGCGGUGCCUGAGGGGCCUGCUGCUAACUGGGGCUUGAGGACCGGAGGGACUGAGGCUCUUCGGGUAGACCCUACCUUCAGGGGAGAGCGUCCAUUCUGGGAAAGCUCUCGGCUGCCUGAGCGCCUGGGAAGGCAGCGUGGAGGCUGGACAGAGAGAAGAUCGCUUGGUGACAGCUCCUAGGGCCACCUGUGUCAUCGAAUCUUUCUUUUGCCUGGAGGAUGGGAGGCUCCUUACCAGCGCCAUCACCCUGGGGAGCAUCCUGUGGAUGUGAGGCCUGUGGAGUGUGGCCGCGCGAGGCGCAGACCCUGCGUAUUUGCUGUUACUCUGCUCCGACCGGAUCUUACCUUUUCUGGGGUCGUGGAAGUCUUGGCUGCUUAGGGUGCAAAUAGCUAUGGGCAGCUUGGCCUUGGCCACAAGGAAGAUGUGCUUCUUCCCCAGCAACUGAGCAGCUUCUGUGAGCCCGGGUGCAUCAGGACUGUCACAGGAGGUGGGGGCCAUUCUGCAGCUGUCACAGUGAUAAAAUGCCUGCCCACAAGCCUCUGAAGGGGAACGGAUUCUCUUCGACUUAAUAUAGGCAACGUGUCUUUAUUGCAGGGAGUCAAGGCAAGAGCUUAAAGCAUCAUCUCCACAGUCGAGAGUAGAGGGAAAUAAAGGCAUCUUUGCCCGCUGGCUGCUUGGUCUCUAUUCUAACACAGUUAAGGGCUCAGCCCAUGGAAUGGUGCUGCCCACAUUCAGAUCAGUUAGAAGUCAAGACAGUCCCACAGACAUAUCCCCCUGUCAGCCUGGUCUGGAUAAUUCCUCAUUGGUACUCCCCUUCCAGGUGAUUGUAGGUUGUGUAUGUUGAUAGUAGAUGCUAACUAGCACACUCAGUUUUCUCUCUGUCCCGUGGGGAUAGUAACAGUGGAUAAACUUAGUGUUUUAGGGCUUUUACAGGCCUUUGGUGUUCCUGUCAUCGUGGAUUCCUCCCUUCCUUUGUAAAGAAAUGCUAGAAAUUAUAUUUUACAACUGUACUGAUGUAAAGUAACUAUACCUAAGAAUGGCAUUUGUACUAUAUAUGAAUUAUUGUUACAUUAAAAUCAACUUAAAACAAUUUGAAAUUAAGACAGCUUAAUUAAAGGCCUAUGGGCCUUUCGAAGUAUUAUGGGGCCUCGGUACGUGUGGAAAGGACUUCCAUGCUCAGCUCUUAGGACAGCUCCUGGCACAUUCUAAGUGUUGAGUUGAUACUGGCGUUCCUGUGAUCAUAGAUGCUCCAUUUGGCGAUAUUGGCACUUGUUACAGAACUGGGAGUUUCCAUUCAUCCAUUAGAUUUGAGGCCCUUGGCCUGAUCCUUUGGUUCCAGAACACAUUAGCAUGCAUCAGUUAAUAGCAUUAGUAUGGCCAAAAAGCCCAUGUCUGUGGCUCCAAAUAAUGCAUGGUAACCUUUUCUUACUUUGGGAGUUGUGACUCUCUCCCUGUGCAUGCUGACACUGGAGCUUUGUUGUUUUAACUUUGUCGUAGUGGCUGUGCCUUAAUUUACUGCUAUUAUUUCCGCCAGCCCUUUCAUCUCCGCAGUUGUGGCCUGCUUCUUUGGAAGCGGUCUGGCCAUUCCGGCCACAGCGUGCUGGGAAUUUUGUUCCUGUGGAUACCACUAACUGGAGCUUUAACUAAAUCUCUAUUGUUCUGUUUCUAAAUAAGACCUGAGAUAGGAAGGCUGGGGUGAAAACCUGUGAGCUCAAAGAGGUGAAGUAACAACUAGCUAGCCCUCUCUCCUCACCGGUGUAGUGGGAGCUGCGAUUCUGUUGUGGGGAGCUGCGGGCUGUGUUCCUGCCACCCCAGGUCCUGGUCGUCCGGCUAGCUCAGUCGUAGAGCAUGAGACUCUUAAUCUCAGGGUCAUGGGUUCGAGCCCCAUGUUGGGUGCCAGAUGAAGGCGAAGGCGUAAGUCACAAACAAUCCCAUGCUAGUUUGGAAUUAUGAUUAAUAUAAUGGUUAUUUAUUUAGGGGGGAAAAACUUACAGAUCACCGUCCCAGACAACAGCCCUCUGCACAAUCAGGUAGGGAGUCUAGUCGCCGGAAGCGGGGCAGGAAGUAAGAGAGCACGAGGAGGGAAGUGGCCGCUUUUUUAAAGGGAGAGAAACCAUGUCCCAAUGGGCUGGUAUCUCAGCGGCUAUUGGCUGGAGGAGUGGAAGGACCUCCCGCAACAAAUUUGAAUUAUUGCAUUGGUGGAGAGGCUUACCGGGCCAAAAAAAACUUAACAGUACCCUGAUCUUCAUAGCAUUGGAGGCAGAAGUGUCUUAGCCAGACCCAUAAGGUGAAUUUUUCUUUCCUGUGAAAAAGGGACAUGGAAAAUACUGACCUUAUUUUGUCUAAGCAGAAGUUGUGCAAUCAAUUCUCUAAUGUCCUGCUGUUUGCUCUCAGUCUGGACCCGGUCCUGGCAGCAGAUGUUGCACUGGGGCAUAUCGUCAGUGGUCAGAGUCAUCGUAAUCCAGGUGGAGACAUCGUGGUGUCCCAUAAUCUUCUUUGGAGUCUGUGAGUCACUGCUAGGAUCUCGGACUUUCUGUCUAAUAGAAAAAGCUUUUUAAUCAUUAUUUUAAAUGCCAUAUCCUGCAGAUCUCUGAAGUAUGAGAGCUGUCUAGGUAUGUCUGAUUAGACAAAUUUUGCUUCUAGUUACUUGCUUUAAGUUUGACUUUGAAAACAUAUACAGGGAGCCCUUCAUGCAAUAGAGUUCAAGUUGUUGUUUAUAAACAAGAAAAAACCAAAAACAACCCUGAUAAUAGGAGAAAAUUGCCUUCCUGGAUAGAAACAUAGAAUAGAAACGUUUAUGGAUAUCAUAAAUAAAGAAUUCAAUUCUUUAAAAAAACAUAUACAGGGAAGUAAAUAAGGCUUAUUACAGUAAUUAAUUUUAUCAGUACUUUAAGGAUGACUGACUAACUUAUAUUUCCUAACAGUCUAUAAUAAGUUGGCCGCUUUCAUAAGACUAGAACUUUACAUUCUGCAAUGAUUUUGAGUUGAAGCUAAUAAAGAAACUGAAUUAGUCAUUCCAAGGUGAAAAAAGACACUUAAAAGAAAUCCCACACUAGUUCAGAGUUGAUAAUAAUAGAGGGUUAUUUAUUUAGGCGGUAAACUCACAUAUCAUAAUCCUCUCCUGGAAUGGGGAAUGGCAACCGAAUGCUGCAGUCAGAAAAGAGACCUGACACACACUUUACAUUGGCAUAUAUAGUAUAAGAGACCACACCCAAGUGAGCUGGUAUCUUAAAGGGUAUUGGCUGAAGGAGUAAAAUGUGCUCCCAUAGCACCUCCCCCUUUUGUUUAAAUAAGAGAGUUCCAAAUCAAUACAUAACUAUAUACACUAGGAACAGAUAUCAAGUAUAAUUAGAAUUACAACCAGCAUAAACAAUAUUAAGCAAGGAAUGCAUGCUAAAUGUUUUAAUAAACAUUCUAACCUAAGGAGCCUAAGUAUUAUAUAGGAAAUGGCUUGGCUAAAUCAUAAGAGAACGGUAGCUAUGACUAUCUAAUCUUCAACCCCAUCAAAGGCGUGAGAAGGGAGAUAAUAUUACUUGAGCAGGCAGGAAGUACAAUCAAGUAGCUUCCAAAGCGAGCAAUAUAUGACAGAGACAAUUAGCUACCUGAGCAAUCACCCAAAGUCUAGUUUUGCAACACUGAAGCAACCAACUUUGGCUAAGGUCUAGUGUAACUGCCAGACCAUUUUUAGAGGCAGGAAACUUUUCAGAACCAUCUUGCCCUGUCUUGGCAAGAUUUGACAGUCUCUUUCCUUGUGUCCUGCUUAUCCACUUCCAGAUACCAUGUUCUUUAUCAGUGGUUGAGGUAUGGGCAGUUCCUUGCCCAAAGGCCACUUUGCCAUGAAGAAAACAAACUCCGAGGGGAGUGUCUUUGGUGCUCAACAUUCUCAGUAGAUUGGUGCUGUCAGGAGCAAUCGUGUCUCAUGUCAACAGAAUCCUAAGUUCUUUAAAUGCCAUGUUCUACAGAUCCUUCAAAUGGUUGAAGAUUACCUAUGUAGACAAAAUACAAUCUCUAUGUAUCUAAAGAACCUAAUCAAUCUGACUGUACGUACAACAAACCUGAACAACUAUUGACCUAUAAUAUUUAAUACCUGUAUAACUUAAAGACUAAAACUUCAUAUCAGAAUAUUAAAUAAUCUGUAAACAAAUGUGUAACAAAUGAGGACGUCAUGAGAAGGUGCACCAUUUCAACAGUUGGUACCCAAAGAAGCAGUCUUAAGAAGCACUGUCUACAUCAUGAUGUCUUCUCAACCAGGUGGAGUUGUUGCUGUGGGGCCCCAUCUUACUGAAAACUUCAGAGAUUACUGCAGGAAAGUUAUCUGUAGGAAAAUCUAUUGUUCAUCAUGGAAAACUUAAACAUCAUUCAUAUAAACAUACAUUCAAUGAAAAAUACAAUAUAGACAUGGAGAAAGUGAAAUUUUUCCUAAAGUCUUCCUUCUGUCCCAUACCAGAUAGCUCCCGAUAUGAGACAGAAGCUCUGAAUGUUCCUUUUAACAACACACUUGGAUUUAGAGAAGUACAGAGCCAUUGUCCAACUCCAAAACCAGCUCUGUCUCUCUCUCUCUCUUGAUCACCUGUCCUUACAAGUCAUAUUCCUUUUUCUUGAUGAUCCUUAUUGGACAGUUAUUUUUCCUUCUGUCAGCAUCCAAACAUCCAGGGUCUUGUGUAUUUUCCUGUAAAGACAACAGCAGAACCCUGUCCCAACCCUUAUGAGGUUUUCUUACCACCUGUAUGGUUGUCACCCCGUGGAUGAGCUGUCAUUCCUCUUUUUCAAGAGGUUUCUCCUUUUCAAAUCAAAUCUUUAUUAAUUUUGAUGGUAUCCAUAGUUUUUUUCUCCUGUGGAAACAAAAGUGAAACCCCCUCCCCAAUAUAGGACAUCUCCUGGUUUCUACUGUGAGGUCAACACAUCAUUGAAAUAUACUGGUUGAUUCAAUUCAGAAGUUUUUUCUAUUAUCCAAUGACUCUCUGCUACCAUUGUUCCUUUCUCAUUAGCAUUAAGAAAAUUCAAGGUUAAUAAAGCAUUAUGCACUCUAUUUCUGGGGGUAUUUUCUAUCCCUUGCUGUUUGUUCAGCAUAUUCUUUUUUUUUUUUAACUUUUAUCUGCAUUUAUUUCAUGUUGAAUUUAUUCCCAUGCCAGAAGUUUUUGUUUCUUCAGUUUCUUCUGGGAUAUCUUUCUUCUGUGCAACCUUCUCUUCUGGCUUUGGAACAAUCUGUUCCUUUUCAGUGAGGAUCAUCUCGAUGUGGCAGGGGGAGCUCAUGUAAGGGUUAAUCCGGCCAUGAGCCCUGGAUGUGCUCAAUGACCAGAGAGUCUACAUCUAAACCCUUCAGUUCAGCAUUGCUCUCUGCAUUUUUAAGCAUGUGCAGCAAAAAUUCCGCACUCUUUUUGGCCACUGACUCUGUGUCCAGCCCCACUGUUUGGCCUGGGCGCACCUACCAACUCCACCAUUGUACCGUUGGAAUGGCACACACUGCUUCUUCAAAGUGACAUCUUUCAGAUACUUGGUGGCAUUUCAGAUACGCAUACCCUGGGCUGUUUCUCGGGUGUUCUUAAUGUGAACCCGAAGGUCUGAUCCUCUUGAUUUGCAUGAUUUUGUAGGGUUUUCUGGGUCAAAAGAGUAGCAAACCAUCUUUACAGGUCACCUCUGGCUGCCUACAGGAAGAGCCAGCAUAUUCUUUAUAGUAUAAUUUGACCUUUCUGUAACUGCCUGACUUGUAGAAUCAUUUGGUAUACCUGUAAUGUGUUUUAUAUUGUAAUAGGCAAAAAAAAAAAAAAUUUCAUUAUUUUAGACACAUAUGCUGGAGAGCAUUGUCUGUCUUUAUUUGUGCAGGAGUGCCCAUUAUGGUCAUAACUUCUAAUAAAUGUGUGAUUACUGAAUCAACCUUUUCUGAGCUUAAAGCCCAUUGAAAACCUGAGUAUGUGUCUACGGUAUGGUUCACAUAUUUUAAUUUACCAAAUUAAUGUUUUAGCACCCACUGUCAUUGACUUGCUUUUAUGUGCCAAAGCAGCUGUAUCCUUCUCCAGAGAGCUGAAUUUUCCUUUUAAUAAAUCACUAUCAGUCUGUACCAUUUC